rnacentral:rRNA from 1 species
GAUAAACGCUGGCGGCGUGCUUUAUGCAUGCAAGUCGAACGAUUCGCCGCAAGGCGGAUAGUGGCAGACGGGUGAGUAACGCGUAAGUUAUCUAUCCUUGAGUGGGGAAUAACCCCGGGAACUGGGGCUAAUACCGCAUGACGCGCUGAGAAUAAUAUUUUAGCGUCAAAGCCGUAAGGCGCUUGAGGAUGAGCUUGCGUCCUAUCAGGUAGUUGGUAGGGUAAUGGCCUACCAAGCCGAUGACGGGUAGCUGGUCUGAGAGGAUGUCCAGCCACACUGGGGACUGAGAUACGGCCCAGACUCCUACGGGUGGCAG